rnacentral:misc_RNA from 1 species
CCAAAACAUAAACUAUUACCCCUUUUUGGAUAACUCAUAUUUUUUAUUUGGUUCUUCAAUUUUUGUUGUGAUCUCAAAAAUCUUUGAUGGGGAGAUUAUUUGUGUUGACUCUUGAAGGGAAGAUGUAUAGCUGCAAGCACUGUGGAACUCAUCUUGCCCUUUCUGAAAACAUUGUUUCCAAGUCUUUCCACUGCAGACAUGGUAAGGCUUAUCUCUUCAGUAAAGUGGUGAAUGUCACUUCUGGCGAGGUAGAAAAUAGAAUGAUGAUGACUGGUAUGCACACUGUGGCAGACAUUUUCUGCGUCUGUUGUGGGUCGAUUGUUGGAUGGAAAUAUGAGACCGCCCAUGAGAAGAGCCAAAAGUACAAAGAAGGAAAAUCAGUGCUUGAGCGGUUUAAGAUUUCUGGCCCUGAUGGAAGCCAUUACUGGGCUAGUCAUGAAACUCAUGUUGCAGGAAGUGAUGCUGAUGAUGCUUGAUCACCAUACAGAACAAAAAUUUCUAUCCCAAAAUGUACAUUCUUUAACCAACCGCCCCAUUGAUUCUUUAUGGACCAUUGGAUUCUUGAAUAGCUGCUUCAACUUCUUUAAGCUUGUCCUCCAUCGUGUAUGAUAAUAUGGAAGCAGCCAUAUGCUGUUGUAAACUAACAUGACCAUCUGUCUGUAUAUGUUUGCAAGGACAAGACAUUACUAGUAGCAACCACUGUGCUUUCAUUGCUUCGAUCUUUCCAUAGUCGUUUUGUAGCUGUAUAGAGUUAUGCAGGUAUUAGUCACGCUGGACAUGAAUUUUUGAAAUAAAAC